rfam:Ictidomys tridecemlineatus contig081930, whole genome shotgun sequence.
GGUAUUGUGGCUCAGAGGUAGAGUGCUUGCCUAGCAUGCGUGAGGCACUGGGUUCAAUCCUCAGCACCA